CCGUCUCCCGUCCCCAGUAAUCGUCCCCGCAGCUCCCAUUUCUGAUCUUUGACUCCUGCUGUGAAUGCGAAACAUGAUACCACACUCCGCACCUCAACGAAACCGCUCUGUACGUAUCCCCCUGGAAUCGAUCACUCCAUCGAUCCAUCAAUCAGACAAUCCCUUCUUUGACGUCUGGCUGUGCGAUUUUAUUUAUUUAUCAUGACGUGAAUCGGCAACCUCUCACCCAACUUCCAACUUGUCAUCCGCAUCGUCGAAUGAUGGCAGCCACGCCAGUAUGGGCCACCCUUGAAUCAUCCACCAUCGCGACGUCAGAGAGGAGGUGCACGUGCAGCGGAGGUUGAGUAGCGUUAAUGCGUGGAUGAGGCGAGAUUCCUGGGUGAAGCGGCGUUUUGUGGUAGUGGAGCUUAGCAUUGGGAGGUUGGAGUGAAGAGUAAGAGGAGGCAGAGAAGCUGGCGUAGAGGUCGGGCUGUGAAUGUGCAUGUGAAGGCAGUGUUGGUGACAUCAUGUCGCGUUUUCUUCAUGUGCAAUGCCAUAAGUGCUCCGUGCUGCAGUAACGAAAUCUCAACAGCACCUUAAAGACCUGACAAUAUGAUUAUAAGAAGACGACGUGGGACCAUCCUAGACGAAUGACCUGUGAUGCAUACACGACAGUCUGAGGGAGGAGCUUAAUCACGCAAUGGAAUGUGGCAAUCUUCAAAGUCGAUGCGACCCAAAGCUCUGGUUGAGACACAGAAUCAUCUUCAACCCUCUCACAGUUGCGGUGGCAGUGAAUUUUAAAAGGUCUUUUUUCUAGUUAUACGACUGAGGUCAUACUGUUGAGAGAGGUUGGGGGUGCUUCUUUUAAUACUCCCUCUCGCGCCGAAACCCUCUUGCUUGAUGGAAACAUGGAACAUCUGUCGCAGCGACUUGAUGAUUUGAAUGCUGUUUGUGGUUGCUGAUGUUGGCGUUACACCGAGUGUGUUCGAGGUUGUUUUCCACGAUUGUAAUCUUACUGGAAUUGUUGCUUCAAUCUUCAGUGAGAGGCCAUGAUGUAGGCGGUACUCUAUGAAGCGAUCAUACUUCAGUCGAAUGAGCAUGUGCAGAAGAUCUCUUUUAGUAAAUUUUAUGGUGUUAGCAUCGGAGUUUGCCUUGGUAUUUAUAGAUCUUGGAGUGAAUGUCGGGCUCAGGUAGAUGGUGUUAAAGGAGCAAAGUUUAAAUGCUUUAGAAAACGUGAAUUGGUUGAGAAGUAUCUGAAAGAGAAACUGUAGUCGUAGUUGAUUUUGUUGAGCUGCCAGCUUGACAAAUUGAUAAUGUAUGGCUAAGAGAAAAUAAGUCGUGUUAUAAUGCCGAUUGCAUUUCA